UGGUUCUGGCAUCGAUGAAGAACGCAGCGAAAUGCGAUAAGUAAUGCGAAUUGCAGAAUUCAGUGAGUCAUCGAAUCUUUGAACGCACAUUGCGCCCUUUAGUAUUCUGAAGGGCAUGCCUGUUCGAGCGUCAUUAUCACCACUCAAGCUUGGCUUGCUAUUGGACCUUUGUCGUUGACGCGACAGGCCCUAAAGAUAAUGACGGUGUUAUUUGGACCCCUAGAUGCAACGAGCUUUCAUUAGCACGCGUUUAGCUGGGCCUUUUAACCCAGUCUCUUUCACAUCAAUUUUAAGGUUGACCUCGGAUCAGGUAGGAAUACCCGCUGA
rnacentral:misc_RNA from 1 species